AAAAUUUCAUUUGGCCAAUGGCGGCCAUGUUUUUUUGAGAUACGCGAAUGUCCUCAUAGAUACUUGUGCCCCUUCAGACAAAGACACUGCAUACCAAUUUUUCAAGUCGAUCGGACCAACGGUUGCCUAGUUAUAGCCAUUUAUGUGUUUUUUUCUGUCUUAUAGCGCCCCCAAGUGGCAGAGGUGCGCAAUUUUUUUUAUUUGACCAAAAAUUGAGCUUAUACACAUGUGUACCAAGUUUGGUUAAGAUAUUUCAUUCCGUUCAAGAGUUAUAGCUAAAAUAACAUUUGGCUCACGUUAGCAUAGACGCUUUUUGGCGUACUGUUUCGCGUAAGAAUCGAAAUUUCAACUUUUUUUCGAUAAUUAUUGAUAUUGAGUGUCCAGAGAAUAUUUCUGCAGUGGUUUGGUUCUGAUCGGGUGAAAAAAACCUAGGACUAGUUCGCAAAAAGUAGGUUUCAGAUAUAAACUCGAUUUUUGCGAGAAAACGAUGCGCCGUAGAGCGAAAAAGCAGCAGAGCAAUUUUUGUUCGGGCUAACCCAAGGAUUGCAACGAUGCCAUGUUUUUUUGAGUCUACGACAAACGGUUUACGAGCUACGAGCCAAAAAAAUGUCUAAAAUUUUUUUGUUUUUGCGCUGUAGCGCCCCGUUUAGGCCGAUUGGGUCGAGACUUUGAUAGGUUCUCCCCAAAUUGAGCUCUACAAUCUGGCCAAAGUUUCAAGUCUCUAGGCCUUACGGUUUGGGUCUGCACGAUCAGUUUUUAGGGCAGAAUAAUAAUAAUAAUAAUAAUAAUAAUUAAUAUUAAAAAGCUGCAAGCAGCGAUUACCGGGGUUCAAGCACAUUAAGGCCUCUGAGGUGGUCUCGGCCAACCUGGAUGUAUGGAUGACAGUUAAACACAUCCAAAAUGGAGAACAGGCUAACAGACAGACACACACACUGAAAGUAAAUUAUUAGACUAAUAUAUUAAUACUCUAUAAGCAUAUGCACACACACACACACAUAUACAAAGACAAAGACACACAUACAUGCACACACAUUUUUGUUGCAGAUAUAGGUAUUUGAAAUAAGUGAUAGGUGACAAUAAACUUAUUGCAAGUCUU
ensembl:lncRNA